rnacentral:rRNA from 1 species
AUUGACGCUGGCGGUAUGCUUAACACAUGCAAGUCGAACGGCAGCACGAGAGAGCUUGCUCUCUUGGUGGCGAGUGGCGGACGGGUGAGUAACGCGUAAGAAUCUGCCUAUUAGUGGGGGAUAACUCGGGAAACUCGAGCUAAUACCGCAUACGCCCUACGGGGGAAAGUGGGGGACCUUCGGGCCUCACGCUAUUAGAUGAGCUUGCGUUGGAUUAGCUAGUUGGUAGGGUAAUGGCCUACCAAGGCGACGAUCCAUAGCUGGUCUGAGAGGACGAUCAGCCACACUGGGACUGAGACACGGCCCAGACUCCUACGGGAGGCAGCAGUGGGGAAUAUUGGACAAUGGGCGCAAGCCUGAUCCAGCAAUACCGCGUGUGUGAAGAAGGCCUGCGGGUUGUAAAGCACUUUCAAUUGUGAAGAAAAGCGGAAGGUUAAUAACCUUUUGUCUUGACGUUAACUUUAGAAGAAGCACCGGCUAACUCUGUGCCAGCAGCCGCGGUAAUACAAGCCGAUC